rnacentral:misc_RNA from 1 species
GAUGAAGAACGUAGCGAAAUGCGAUAAGUAAUGUGAAUUGCAGAAUUCAGUGAAUCAUCGAAUCUUUGAACGCACAUUGCGCCCGCCAGUAUUCUGGCGGGCAUACCUGUUCGAGCGUCAUUUCAACCAUCAAGCCCCCGGCUUGUGUUGGGGACCUGCGGCUGCCGCAGGCCCUGAAAACCAGUGGCGGGCUCGCUAGUCACUCCGAGCGUAGUAAUACAUCUCGCUCAGGGCGUGCUGCGGGUUCCGGCCGUUAAAAGCCUUAUUUACCCAAGGUUGACCUCGGAUCAGGUAGGAAGACCCGCUGAACUUAAGCAUAUCAAUAAGCGGAGGA